UAAUACGGAGGGUGCAAGCGUUAUCCGGAUUCACUGGGUUUAAAGGGUGCGUAGGUGGGACAGUAAGUCAGUGGUGAAAUCCCCGAGCUUAACUUGGGAACUGCCGUUGAUACUAUUGUUCUUGAAUAUCGUGUAGGUAAGCGGAAUAUGUCAUGUAGCGGUGAAAUGCUUAGAUAUGACAUAGAACACCAAUUGCGAAGGCAGCUUACUUUACGAUGAUUGACACUGAGGCACGAAAGCGUGGGGAGCAAACAGGAUUAGAUACCCUGGUAGUCCACGCCCUAAACUAUGGAUACUCGACAUCAGCGAUACACUGUUGGUGUCUGAGCGAAAGCAUUAAGUAUCCCACCUGGGAAGUACGACCGCAAGGUUGAAACUUAAAGGAAUUGACGG
rnacentral:rRNA from 1 species